rnacentral:lncRNA from 1 species
AUAUUUAUUUGAACAGGUCAGUGAGGGCAUUAUUGGGAGGCAGAAGGAAAGGUGGGUUUAGUGGGGCUUCUGCUUUGGUUAACAAACCUUAGAUGCGAAUUCUUGUCUGAACACACAACUUCUGGGAGUUCGUUCAGCCUUGGAUAAUUACUCAGUGGGACACAUCUGGUUCUUACGGAGUCAGCACUCCCACCAGCUUCACUGGGACUACUACUGCAGGACUCAGCCCCACAUGAGCUAAACAGAGAAGAGAGAUGAAGCUGUUUUUCUGAGGCAGAGAACAAUCAUUGGCAAAAUAAAUCCACUGACGGAUGGAAAGAAAAUAUUACUGCAUCAUUAUGUCAACCUUUAGGAAACCACUCUAAGAUUUCUUGAGGAGGAGUUCUGCAGAUGAAGUGCUUGCAAGAUCAGAUCUAUUAAAAUCAACUCUCAAAAUACUGAACACACAGAGCUAAAGAAGUACUUGGUUAAGAAGCAGAAAUGAAGGACUUACUAGCUUCAUGCCUCAGUGAACAAAGACCUUUCAAGAACAUUUCACUGCUGUUCUAAAAGAACAACUAAUUCAAGGUUCUGGAGAAGGAGAAAGUCUCUCACCUGGUGGUUGGAGAAAUCACACAGAAGAGGAGAACAGAAACCAGAAGAAAAAAUUGAACCCUAAUCCCCAUGGUGAGAAAGGAUGCUACAGUCGUUGGGCUGCGAUCCGUGGGCUGUCAGGAGGAAUGGAAUACUGCAAUUUGGCAGAGCAAACCAAAGAUAUCUGCAAACCGCACAGCUCUCCUAGUGAGUUCUCCCAGUGACAGAUGAAGUUUCAUCAGUAGAAUGGCUAUCAUAGGACUGGGAGCCUGGAGCCAAGGCUGAAUUGUGAGUACCCAAAUCAUGGCUCGACCUUAACUGCUUGUAU